rnacentral:lncRNA from 1 species
AUAAUCUCGUCUUUGAUGCGUGGCUCCCAUCGUCGAUCAUUACAGAGUGUGUCUGCUCAGUCUCUUAGCUUCUGUUCUUCUUAUGAGGACUUUUACUGUCGCGCUUUCGAUCGCACCUUCACUUCUGAUUGUCACCGAAUGUGUUGCUUUCGCGAGCUGAUGAAUCCAUUGCGACGGCAUCGCAAAUCCAUUCAGUGAACGAUGACGUUUACUGUGAUAUCUCCCCACAUUGCAUUGUGCAGGAUGGAAAGGUUUAUACCUUUUUCAACUUAACCUGGAUAGUUUUGCAACACGGAUUCAGCUAUGACGCAGCCAUUUUUAUUACCACUUGAGAAGAGUGAUGAAUGCACCAUCUUGUGAGGACUAAACUGCUAUAAUGUUAUGUAGCAUUUUGAUGUUCAUGUGCUACGGAAACAGGUAUUCAAAUCGCUUGCAGGAAACCGAAAUUGAUUCUCUGACUUACUUAUACGUUAAGUAUUAUUUUAAGUUCAUGCUUUUAAUUUAAGUUAAUUAUUUUGAAUUAUUUUAUUGUUGUCAGGGGUGCAAUUACCUUUCACUUGAUUGAAUUUGGUAAAUGCAUGAUCUAUAUUUAUUAUUUUCACUCGAAAUGCAAAUGGAGUUAGGUAUGUGUCACUGUGAACAUGCUACAAUGAGAUAUAACAUACUGAAUGCCGAAUUGCUCGAAUAAGUCAACCGUAGUGUAGUACUGUAAAGUUACAUCAAUUAUGUAAAGCAAUCCAUACUAUGCAUUUAAUGAAUUAUGUUAACUUCACCAUGUUAGUGAAAUUUAUAUAAUAAAUCUAGUACAUUGUAUUUUUUUCCAAUACAAGAAUUAUUGUGAAGAUUGAUGUUCAAAGAUAACCAAUAAUGUUCCUAGUAUCUGGUUAUUGUCAGGCUUUUCUAUUCUUACACAAAAAUAUGAAUACAAAAGAAUAGUAAUGUUUGAUGAUGCUACCACCAAACUUCAACAGUUGUCACGCAUCAUUAAUUCUAUGCACACAGCACAUUUAGAAGUGACUGUUUAAACACCUUUAUUGUAUUUCACUAAGAGGAUGCAUAUGCAAUAACAAGCCUCAAAUCUUUCGCCAUACAAUUGAGCGGGUGAUAAGAAACUCUUCAUUACUUCUAUCUCAUGAGUAAAUCCAUCAAAUUUCUCCGGCAAUAUUUCAACGAUGAAUGCAGUAACAUCGUCAGUAGGAGCUGUUGUUAAGAUUCAGGUCACAGCUUUCCUCCAGCUUCAUUGAACAACCACAUGUGUGUAACCCGCAGCCAAAGAGAAAUGGGAUCUUGUACUACCUGGUGUGGUUGCUAUCCUCCUCCCCCCUCCUCCGCAAGGAAGGUGACUACAGAAUUCUUUCAUGUCAAGUUUCUCCCAGCAGCUACAAGCACAAAGUGGAAAUUUUCGUCACUUCCCAGGGAGAGAAAAGUUGGGAAGAAAGAAAUAGUGUUCUCGAAAUGACGCGGUUGAAAAGAGAAUUAGGGUUCAGCCAGUUUCUUGAAGUACUUGAGAAUUUUACGAAUGCAAGGUGUCAAGAAAUGCCGUGAAUCUGCUCUAAAAUUCCAAACCUCUAAAAAACUGGGAUCUCUAAUGUCGAUGAUGCAGCUUCUCUCUCUCUCGGUAUGCCUCAGCGUACCUGCACACACGCAAAAUGUCAUGGAUUCCGUGUAUUCUUUUGGCAUCACAGUACGUUUCCAUUUGUUUGUUGAUUUGUUUGAUCUUUUAAAUAUUAUGAUUAUUAUUAUUAUUAUUAUUUUAUUAUUAUUUGUUUUCUUCCUUCCUGCAGCAACUCUUAUUUUUAAGGUAACAUCCCCUUUUUCAACAAGCAAAGCUCAUCUAAAGAGGAAGAAAACAAACGCGAAAAUUUCCAGAACAACUUCACAAAAACGCUUCAACCCCAAACCUGCUGAAUAUAGUGAAGAUACAACAAACAGAUACACAAAUGAAACAUCCAGAGAAAAGAUGUAAAAUGAAAAAAGGGAAAGAAUACAGCACCCCAGAAAAGAAAACAUAGUCACAAAUUUUGAUAACCCUGCAUUAACCAAAUAACAAGUCUUCCACCAAAGACCAAAACCAUAAGAUACGAGAUGCCAUCCCUCACCAACUCUUGAUGGUGAGACACAUGCAACAAACCAACACACAACGGCAAAUAGCAUAGAAACACACCCGUAGCUGCCGAGGACAGGAACCAACAGAAACAGUGCCGACACCCAGUUGUCAUUGAACCGCUUCAUGGUCUUGUACCGAACAUCAUGAAGAAGGCCUCGCCAUAUGUGUUGAUGGCAAGGGGACAGUGAAUAGGUGACCUCCUUCAGCCGGACCGGCACCUUCCCCAUAGCUUGCAAAUGCUAACGCACUCUAAAGCAACACAAAAAAAAAAAAAAAAAAAAAAAAAAACAAAAACAAAAACAAAAACAAAAGGAUAUCAAAACCACAUCUACGGAGCAUGCAAAGACAUGAAAUUGAAGGUGAGGAAGAAUGGAGGCUGAAGCAGCAAAACCCAUGUGCAAGAUUGGGCAACAACAGGAGCAAGAAUUUGUGUGCAGUUGUGCGAGGAGGUCCUGGGUGGCGGUGGUUACAAAUGAGCUGGCCUUUCCGGAUCACACCACAUCAUGAAAAAGACACUAGUUACAUUGCAAGGGGGGCUAGUAGACUAUGCUCUCAUCACAAGGCAGGCAACUCAAAAUUCCUCAUUCUGAUUAGUCUAAAAAUGUACACAAACUACUGGUGGAGGAUGACGAGUACUCACUUGCAUUCAACUCAGUGCAGGUGAGUGGUUCGAAUCCUUGUUUUAGAUUUUUAACUGUUUUAUAUUUUGUGAAAAAACAAUGCAUGAAUAAUUUUUUUUGUUGUUAAAAAAAAAACAAAGAAUCUCAAUAAAUAAAUAAAUAAAUAAAUAAAUAUAAAUAAAUAAAUAAAUAUAUAUAUAUAUUAUUUACUUUGUUUUGGUGGUGGGUUUGUUAGUGGUAGAUGUCUGAUGCAUACUUUUAGUCUUGUCCUAACUUUAGAAAUUAGUAUCUUGGUAAAAAAAAAAGUACCAAUAAAACCAAAUCUAUUCCCAUUGAGAAUCUCUAUAAAGCCCCCCACAGCCAUUCCAUGACGGCGACGGUUAUCUGCGGCAACCAGCGGCAUAAAUCGGAUAAAUUAUGAACGUUAGACUGAGCGAGGGAAUCAGUGGCCCAGAGCAGCCCAACUUGGAUGAAUACUUACUUUCAUGCUUUUUCUACACUUUCAUCCAUCCUUUCUCACGGCGUACUGGGUGACUGCCAGGUGUCCAUCAAUCUUAUGUGCCAAGUGGUGGUGCAGGCAUCGUUCCCCGUGUCCGAAUUAUUCAAUUAAAAAUGGUCUCGACUAUGUAUAUGUUGUAGUCAGUAUUUCGAUCGCCCUCUCUCUCCCUCUCUUUCUCGAUAUUCAAUCACUCGCAAUCCUUCUGUUUCUUCGAUUUUUUAUUCUGCUACUUCAUUGGUUUACUCAAUUUCAUCGACAAUGAAUUUCUUCGGGAACAACAACAACAACACCCAGGACGCCGCUGCCCAGAAGGCGGAGGAGACCAAGGCUUCCACCAUGGUAAGGAACCCACCUGAUUGUCCACAGGGUCCACUUCUGUUAUCCGUGAGUUGCGUAUAGUUGAGCAGUUGGAUUCUUUGUUCCGAAUCACUGGCUUUUGUUAAAUAUGAAUCUCUCAGGACAUCGCUGGGGCCGCCCAGAACAAGGCCCAAGACGCCGCUGGAGCUGCAGGUGACAAGGCCAAUGAAGCCAAGGAGGCUUCGGCCAACGCUGCGGGAGCGGCCCAGGACAAGGCCUCGGAUGCUGCGGGAGUCGCGCAGGAUAAGGCUAGCCAAGCGCAGAGCCUUGCUGGUGAGAAAUUGCAGCAGACACAGCAGGCUUCAGCAAAUGCGGCCCAUGCCGCACAGCAGAAGGCCAUGGAGGCCAAGGAUGGAGCUGGAAACAUGCUGCAGCAGACUCAGAAUGCUGUGGGCAACGCACUCAACGCUGCCAAGAACGCAGUUACCCCCAACCAAUAGAUUUUUCUUUGUUCAGUCGCUCAACAAUGAUGAUUAACUCUUUCGAUGAAAGGGUAGACAAGAGAACUGUAAAUUGCCGUGUACUGUAUAGGUCACGCCGCUUUGUAUGUAAUACAAGAGCUCGCAAGAGCGUUCAGUUUUUUAUCUCUUUGUUGGUACAUUAAGUAUUUGAAUCAGUUUCUGUAUUGUUCUCUUCUUUACAUCGGUUAAUUGGUAGAUUUGGUACGAUCUGAUCGGUAGGUAUGGAAUGUUGGUAAAUUUCUCGGGACUUACAGAUAACAAAACUUAUCGAGUUUCACCAAAUUGGGUGUUUUACUACUCAGUUAUGCACAAUUCUUUUUCAUUUUUUGAGGCGUCGAAUUUUCCUACAAGUAUUGGUGCGUAAUGUUACACUGAAGUAGCAAUUUUCGUGAUAAGACUGUAGAGGUGGUGAUGAAUAUGUUAAGAUUAUAUAAUAUACCAAGUUCCCGCAACAUUAUUAUGUGAUGUAAAGGAUUCGAGGCACCCGAUUGUCGAUUUGUGCAAGAUAGGUUAUCAGAUCUAGUGUGAGUUAAGCCACAGCCUACAGAAGAUUGAAUUAAUCAUGCUCACCAGAUUGAGUUUUACUUGCUGGGAAUGUGUCACGGGAGAUGAAGCGUGUAGCAAUAUUCUUGUUUGAGAAAAUACCUCGAAAAUGUCUGCUUCAGUGAAUAGAAUAACCGUCAAUAAUUGCAUCCUUCCAUAGGAAGAUGGUACCUCAAAAAAUUCAAGUUCAGUAUCAAAGAAUUGGACUUACAAGAAGUGCUGACCAAGUGGACCAAACACGAGAAUCGCGAAAACCGAACCCAAGACAAAGCUUGUUCAUUGCAAGUUGUCGAACAAACCCACAUUUACAAUGAGAAUAGUCCUCGAUCAUUAACUAUUGACCACCCUCUUGAUUCAAUAUUUUCCAGAAUCCUAGUCUAUAGAGUGAACACAUGCACUCAUAAUUCAUGCUUUAGAAAUUACAAUUCUGUUUAAUACCGUGCGCAUCCAAACUCAUCGCAAAUUUCGAUCUGGAAUGACUUCUGAAUGUACAACAAGACACCAUUUCGUAAGCAGGCCGACUAAUACAUUAAGAAUUGCGCUAAAUUGGCAGUAGAGCGGCGUAGAUCCUAGUUCUAAGAUGUAUAGAUACUAGGAUUUGGGCGUAUAUCUAAGCGCACCCUGAUAAAGAACCAGUUAUAGAAAGUACGCGAUGUCAGAUUUUAAAGAAUACUGCAUACUUCUUCUGCUGCAAAAGCUCUGAAGCAUAGAUCAUACAAUCUCAGCUUCAUAAAGUAGACUGAAGCCCUGAAAGAGUGAAAUAUCUAGCACAAAGCAUGAGUGAGCAAGUCAAGGUAGAGCCUGAUCGUUCCGAAUUUGGAACCUCAGAAGCUGGUCACCAACAAUAGAGGACCUUUUCGUAUCCUACAGUCAUGUAACAAUUUGCUCUUGCGAUAGACUGACAAAAACUAUCAGGAGUGCAUGACUCCGCAUCAUGCACGUAUAACAGAAUUGCGAAAUGAUAUGUACUGACACAAAAUUUCACGUAAAUGGACACUGAAAGCAGUUCGGUUUGAGUUCAGAUCAGCCUUCCACAAAAUACUUAACUAGUUCAAAAGAUUGAAAUUCAUAAUACACGUAGUUAAGCUUUGCUAGCGAACCUAGUCAAUAAAUUGCAUAAUUCUUUGGUAUGUAACUCGUUAUACUGUCUACCUGGUCUUUGAAUAAAGUAAAUGAAAUGUUCACCUCUAUGAGUACGUAUGGUGAGUAACCCUCUUCACAGGUGAAAACCCUACACUGUCUACCUUCUCCUUUCUGUACAGGGACGAUUAACUUUGACCUGCAUCCAACCUACACGUCUACCCAAAAUUAAUGCAUGAAUGGCAGCAUUGCAGUCGACGGUAAAAGAAAGCUUCCGUAUACUGUGGUUACUGUUUGGUCAAGGCCGACUUGGCCUUCUGCGCAUCCUCGUAGGAACCGUACUUCUUAACUUUCCUGCGUAAGCUUCUUUUGCGACUAAAUGCACCUUCAACAGGUAUGGCAGCAGUCAUGGCAUCACGCAUGGCAUUGACAAGCGUAAGGUUUGCGUCCGUGUAUAUACUGGUCACAAACCCAGGCUGACCUGCUCUAGCAGUUCGACCUAUUCUGUGAAUGAAGUCGACAGCUGAAGUAGCAAACUCUGCUUGAAUGACAUGAGUUAUGUUAGGAAUAUCAAGGCCUCUAGCAGCGGCAUCUGUGCAGAUUAGCGUACCGCCCUCUUCUUCGAAAGAUGACAAGGCUGCUGCCUUAUCCUCCACUGAUAAGUCCCGAUGAUAACGCAUGCAUUUCAGCCCACAUUGAUCCAGGACCCGUGCAAUUGCAUCUACGCCUUCAACGCUGUUAGCAAAAACAAGCGUUCUAGCGUUGGACCGACUUUCUCUUAAAGCGUCAGUAAGCACAGACAAUAGGUUAUUGUCUUUGUUAACAUGUACCCACCGGUGUUCUAACAUGGGAUUGUGGCGAUGAAGGAAAUUGCCAUGGACCCAAGUCAUAGCCGGAAAUUUCUGCUUGAGAACUGCUCCAGGUGAACUCUUGCCAGCUUGAGGAAGUGUUGCUGCAACAAAAAUGUACUGUUUACUUCUCUUAUACUCCUUCCUAUUCCGCAACCACUCAGAUCUCCUCUGCAUUGACGCACUCUGUCCACUGGAAGCUGUGCUCUCUUGGGCACGUUGCUCGAAAAGUAAAGAGUUUCCACUUUCGUCGACAAUUUCCUGUGCUUCUCUUUCGACCUCCUCUGCCACAUCCCCUGCCUCCUCCUGCCCUUCAGCUUCGCUCCAAACUCUCCGAAAUUCAGGUUCUUUAAACUCUAUCUUCGUCUCUACCGACGCUUCAAGCUCUCGAAGCUUGGAAAUCCGCUUCUCUUCUAGACGAAAUAAGUCGAUGAGCCGACCAACAUCCCGCACAAACCCGCCCCCCAACAACAUGUCCGCUUCAUCAAAAACCACCAUUCUCACAGCCUUAACAAACGCUAUACGUCGACGACGAUUCGCAUCGAACCCAAACAAAUUAUUCAACAAAGCUGCCGGAGUCGCAACAACAACGUCCGGAAGAUAAGUCGGCCAUCCCUGUCCCCCUGAAAUCAUAUCCACGCGCACCAGAGGCUGUCCGUCCUCACCUCGUAACGCAUUCGCCAUAUCCACAACCUGAUGGCACAGCAGUGCAUUUGGACACAACACUAAACCCAACCCAAACCCCAAACCCUCAAAAGGGCUUUUCUCCUUAUCCUCUGCAUCUUCUAUCCCGCUCGCACCUGCCUUCCACAUCUUCUGCACAAGAGGCGCCAGAUACGUGUGCGUCUUCCCGCUGCCCGUCUCCGCAGCUACUACCACAUCCCCAGUCCCCAAAAUCGAAGGGAUGGCUGCCGCUUGUACCAAAGACGGAUGCGGCAGCCCCGCACGCAUCAAUGCCCCCACAACCUCGCCAUCCAACCCCAGCGACCUCCAAGUAAUGCCCUUCUCAGCCCAAAACCCACCCGCAUCCUCGCCGCCUCCUUCCGCCCUGAUCCCCGACGCCGAAAACCGCCUCCUGGCUCCAGGAACGCAUCGCAGAUUGAAUCCAAUUGUCUCCACCGUCCAAAUAUUCGAACCGCACGCGCUCUGCAAGCGGUAUAAGCACCUGUGCGACGAGCAGCUGAAAGCUGCUCUGGUGUAAGGCACGAGCGCCGACACGGACGCCGCAGCCACAAUGCACCGCGCCAUGGCUGAAUUCCUGCUGCAAUUAACGAGUGCUCUUGUGUCGUCGCAGCAGAGACACCGUGAGACCCAGAGGGACUGCCAUCAGCCUGAGGAUGAAGGCCGAAUGUCAUCUACGUCAUCCGACUUCAUCAUUGUAAUACAUUCAUCCUAUAGUAGACAUACCAACUUCCAUGCCACUCCUUUGUCCUUUAUCAUAAACCUCUAAGCAAGUUGUUAGAAGAUUGAAAUGGUAAUUUAACCCCUAAAAAUUGUAUAUCAAAAAGCUACAAAAUCGUUUUCCAUGAUAAAACAGUUGCUAUUUGAUGUACUAAUAUUUUAUUUAUUUUUGUAAAGAAGAAUUUUUGAAUACACCAACUCAGAUGCUCAAAAUACCCCGAAUAUGCAUUUCCUACAUUAUAGAAACCCCAAAUUCAAAAAAUAUGUAUAUAUAUAUAUAUAUAUAUAUUUUAAAUAUUACUUAAGCAAGCAGAAGUGCCACUAAGCGCAUUCUGUUCCUUGUAGGACUUAGAAACCAGUUGAUUUCAAAACCACCACCUCCAACGUGUGAACAGAACUCAUUCAAGGGGGAGUUUCCUUCGAGGUCGGGGACCUCGAAUGAGGUGCGGACCCAAUGGAUCGACACCUCAAUUUCCACAGUGGAUAAAUGGCCGCCUGCCCGCCCUGCCCGCCCGCGCGUCGACGCAGCCACAGCUGAAUGGGGGGGGGGAGUCAGGCUUUGCUGGGCGGGGCUUUGCACACGCAGUGGUCGCAAUAACAAUUGCAAUGUCUGGAUAGCCAGGGAGGGAGGGGGAUUCACAGCAGUCUCGGCGGUGGUGAGAUCGACGAGCAGUCACGCAGCCAUGUUUGCUCUCUGUGCAGCUCGCGUGGUGCCUGCACUCGGUUCUUCGUCCUCCGCGUCUUCGUGUAUUGAACUCUCAACCUUAUCUGUGCCAGCUCCAAUUUCGUGUGUGGUGAUUUUGUGUGAAAUCGCUGAGAGGUGGACAGGAAUCAAUUCUGUGAGGAGUUUCAUCUACUCAGCGCGGGAGGUUUGUUUAUAGGGUUAGAUUUUUGUCGCGUAGGGUUAUCACCGCUGAGGUUUUGGGCUUAUUCGCUGCUGUGAUUGUUUGUUCAAUUGGGAGUGGUGGAGGUGGUGAAAGGUUAUGCGGUUGCCCUUCCUACUCUGCUGUCAGUUUGCAGCUGCGUUAGGUUUACCCCUGAAUUGAUGUGUUUUCCUCUCCGUGCCCGAAUUAGCUUUUCUGCGGUCUGUAUGUGCUGAUGAGAUUGGAAGAAUUUUGGUUUUGAGUAGUGAAGAAGUGGGAUAUUAGUCGUCCGCUCAUUGAGAUUUGUGCAUCCUAACGACGUAGCUUGUUGGAAUGUUGCAGCAUUCCGGGGUUCUAGAAUUACCUCGAAAGGAUUAUGUGAGGUUUCAAGUUUGUCAGCUCGAACGACAUGCGCUACGGUGCGGUGCAUUCACUCGGAUAGUUUAAAUGAAAAUCAUCGAACCGAUUCUGAAGCUAAGACUAAGCUUUUUAGUAGGGCAGAUUCUCUGUCGAACGGUUUAGAUGAAUGUAACUUUAGUAAGCGUAGAGCAAUAGGGCGCAGAGACCUUUUGAAUCUUGCUGCAGGAUUCGGAAGUGCUCUGCUAGUUGAAAGAUUAGCGGAAAAAGACAUUGCUUUAGCAGUCUCAAAGAAAGACCCCUCCCCAAAGAGCCCUGUCGAUGAGAAGAGAUUGCUCGAUCAGAAUCGGAGGAUGCAAAAAGUCAACAAUGCUCCAGAGGAUUUUCCUACCUUUAUUCGCGAAGGUAUAUCUUAUAUUGUUUGAUUCAACAGUAUCGUGUAGUUAUUUCUUUCCAACGGUGUUGUUCCCCUCUUUUUGUAGCCAUGUGAUGUCUCUUCUUUUCUACGAUCACAGUAAUGAUAUUCUGGGGCACUGUUCUUACUUUUUCUAUCAGCGGGAUCUCUAAGGAAACACAAUUUGGUGCGUUCAGGAUUCCAGGUGAAGGUGAUAACGGAUGACAAGUACACGACGGCCGAAUCGGGACUCAUUUACUACGACAUUGUUGAAGGCCAAGGGGAGUCGCCGAAGGAUGGGCAGCAGGUAUUUGCAUUGAUCUCCUUGCAUAAUCAAUUUUUUGUUAUACAUUUUGUUAUAUUUAUUUUAUUUUGAUGUUUUAAAAAAAUCAAUUAAAAUUUAAGAAAUGCUGUUUUAGAACUUUACAGGUGGGAUGGAUUUGGUCGACGCUAACCUGUGCUUUUAACGGUUGUUGGGAGUAGUUAAAAUUCCAUUACAUAGGAUAUAACGAGAAUGGACGGCGCAUUGAUAGUAGCUAUCAACAAGGUGAACCUGCACGUACAAGACUUGGUAUCAAAGGGAUGAUUCCUGGUAAGUCUUCUAGCCUUUCACAUCAUAGGUAUGUAGGCUCUUCUUUUAAUUAUUCGUUUGUCGGAUUGAAGGCCUUCGCUGAAUGGGAUGCUUAUUUAUAUAGGUUUCGAAGAAGGGAUUCGGACCAUGAAGCCUGGAGGCAAGCGUCGGAUUGUUAUUCCUCCCGAACUUGGUCCCCCGGUAUGUGUCUUCUACUUGAAGAGGCCAGUUAUAUUGGGAUUUUUGUUGGUGAUUCAAUUCCUUACCCACUUCACUUCCAACGCGUAUACGUGUUAUUCCUCCAUUUUCGUAAUUCUGUCUUUCAGUUGAUGUUACAUGUUUCUAACCACCGCAUAUUUCAUCUGAAAUUUAACGAAGUAAGUGCAAACCAAUUUGAAAUGUAGAGUUAAAGAUACUAUGUGACUAUGUCCAUGUUGUCCAAUGCAGCAAAUACGUGUUUUGUUGCAUUAUCCUUCUUACAAGUUGUUUUCUUUUGAGCAGGUUGGACCAUCAACCUUCUUUAGUGCCAAGCAAUUUGAAGUAUUCGACGUGGAACUGUUAGAAGUGAAGAAUUGCGAAAGAAGAACUGUGUUUCUUUACUCUGAUGUUGUUUGUGAUUAGGCUUCUAUCUAUCUUACUAGGAAAUACCAUUCUGGAGUCGGCAACAAUGUGGUGCAGCUUUGUGGGCUUAAUUUAUGGCUUUCCUAAAUCGAAGUUUUCUUUUGACCUCUGGUUUGCAUUGUAUGAGUAGGAUUGGCGUUUCAAAGGAUUUGACUCGAAUCCUUCUAGGCAGAUUCAUUUAAGCAGCAACAGUUGUGAAAGUCCGUCUCCCGACAUUGUGUCCGGUCUUGAAUGCGCUUGAGCUAAAACUAGUUCCCAUUUAAAUCAUGCUUAUGAGAUGCUACCGUGAUUCUUGCUGAAUGAACUGGAACUGCAUGUAUUGUUUCUUGAAGAAAGCACUGUUUGGUGGGUAUAGUCACGCAUUGAGGAUCAGCCAAUGUUGCAGCGAUCAUUUUGACUUCGCAAGGAACGCAAACACAAUUAUAAAACCAGCUUUCACAUACUCAUGAAUUCAUGAAGCCAGUAAUUAGGUCGAGCACGUUAAUGCAGCUGAUCGUUCCAUCCAUCGAAACCUGGAGCGGCGACCCGUACUGGUCAUGUUCUUCGACGCAGUCUACACACUUUCAAAUUUUAUACCAAACUAAUCACAAAUUUCUUUGGUGAUGGAGUAGAGUGAAGAACCGGAUGGACGUGAUUGUUGUGACAGCGAAUCCUGUGUGACUGGCAAGGGGCAAGCUGUCAGCAAAGGAAGGGACAGGCUCCACCAGAGGUUGCCAUUAGUUGGCGAACAAGGUUCAACUUGGAGAUGGCGCAAGACAGCCAUGGGAUGAAUUCCAUUGAAUACAAUAUAGAUGCAUAGAAUACUUAUGUAUCCCAAUACUUGCUGAGGCCCUCUUUCAAAUCGAUUUUGUAUUAAAAUAUUGAGAUUGGGAAUGUUCCUACUAGCCCUAUACAUUAGGCUUCUUUAUGAUCUUAUUGGCUAGCACAUGAAUUGUGCUAAGGCCAUUUUUUCAUCUCUACAUAUGUAGAAGGAUCCCCUUGUGGAGAAAUUGUAGUAUGGAGGCAUUGGUUAAAGGUUGGUUUUGGGUGUACUAUACAUCACACCUAACAAGGUUGAUGUUGGUAAAAUUUAAGUGCAAAUUGUUAUUUUUAAAAUCUCUAUCAAAUUGCUAUGUUGCAUCAUGAUUGGAUUGAAGAAGAAUUGGGCAAUUUUUUCAAAAUCCUUCAACUAUGAUGUUUGGACUUCAAUUCAUUUGGUGAGGCAAUACAUGGCUACUAUGAUGUACUUGUGCCUUGUGAUCAUUGUUGUUAGGGGCCCCUGAGAUCUAUGCCUACUUGCAUGAAUAGUUCUAAGAUAGAAAUUAAUGUUAGUAUGUACAACACGACAUCCUUGUCAUAAUUAGGUUUUACUUAGUACACUAAAUAUUAUUGAAUAAAAUUAGUUACUUCACUUAUUAUAUUGAUUCAAUAGUAGACUUCUUGAAGUUGCUUGAGAGUUCUUCAUACUGUAAAGUCUCUCUAUAUUUUUGCUACAUGAAAUAAUUCUAGAAUUUAAAAAAGAUUAAAUGCUUUAGAUACUUGAAAAAUGCAAGAUCCUCCAUAGAAUCGUCUUUUUGUAAAAGAAGGCACAAUCCUAAGUGAGGUAUUGAGAGAGAUAGUACUUUAUUUGUUUGACAAGAGUUUGUCCAAGCUCCAAUCAAUUGAGCCAAUCCGACAAGCCUCCACAAUGUAUACUCAUGUCAUAUGUAGAAUAAGAAGUCAAGAUCCAUUGUCCAUGAGGUUAAUUGUAAAAGGUUGAAAUUGACAAAUGGAGUCAAGAUCUUGAAAAUUUGUAUAAAAAUUGGGUGUCAUAGACUCAGCAUGUGUCAAAGCUUCAAUGUUGGCAUAUAUGCAACCAAGCUUGUGAAUGAUGGUGCAAUCAUACAAUUAUGAGAUUAGGAUCUAUUAUUCUAGCCAUCAUAUUAAGUCAUGUAAGCUCAUGAAAGCUUACAAAGAAGGAUAAUUGAUUUGAUAACAAAUUGUAAGCCAUAGAUAUAUGGUCAAAAGUGCUUGAUGGCAAAGAUGACAACAAAUUAUUUGUUAUUACUAUUGUUGUAGUUCUUCUUUGCCUUAAAGAAGCAAUGUAAGGUGUAUGUAACUACUCAUUCUUGGCUAUGAUAUUUUGGCUAAGUAUGGCUUCUAAAGCAUCUUAAUUUGCAUCAAUUUGUGGGAUGAAAGGUAAGUAAAAAUAUAGACAAUGAGAAGUAGAAUAAUACAUAAGCCAAACUUAAACUUAUUAAAGAUAGCAUGUUUGACAUUGUCCCAAAUAAAUGCCACUUCUUUCUUCAUUAAUUAGUAAAAUGGAGCUACUAAUAAAGAAAAGUCUUUUACAAAUUAGUCCUAAUGAUUAAUUAAUUCAAUAAAGAAUCGAGUACAUUUGAGAUUCAUAGAUGCAUGGAAUUAAAAAUCUAAUUAUACCUUAUCAAGAUCGGAUUGUAGUCUUAUAAUAGACAUAAUAUAUCAAAGAUAUGUGAGCUUUAGCAAGCCAAUGACACAUUUCUUGGCCUUGAGUUUGAGACUCAUACAUCCAAUUCAUAUUAAGAUUCUUUAAAGAUCAAUGAGAUGAGAGUCAAAGUCCUUAGAAUAUAUGUUGACAUCAUUGAUAUACACUAAGGUAAACUUCCAAUUGAACUAUCUUAAUACCAUAUCCAUAAGAUGUUGAAAGUUAUAUAUGACAUUAUAUAAUUCUAUAGGCAUGAUAUUGAAUUGAAACAAUUUCUCUUGAAAAAUAAAGGAUUUUUUUUUUUUUUUUUUUUUUUUUUUUAAAAAACUUUUUUAGCCUCAUUUGAUAAUAGGACUUACUAAAAGUCUAUGGCUAAAUCAAUAAAAGAGAAUAUAGUAGCUCUAUGUAAUUAAUCCAAGGUAUCAUUAAUACAAGGAAGAUGAUAAAUAUUCUUCUUCAUAAUUAAAUCCAAAAGUUAUUAGUUGAUGCAAAAUUGAAUAUUUUUAUUCUUCUUCUCUACCAAUACUACUAUGAAGAUCCAUAGAAAGAGGGAUGGACUACCUACUAUUGAAUCUAAGAACUUAUAUAUUUUAGUUUUGAUGAUGGAUUGUUUUUUUAUAUUCUUAUAAUAAUCCACUUGCCACCUAGAAGGUGCUUUAGUGACAAUAGCUUGAGUGAUUAGAGUAGCUUAAGAAAGAUUAAUAGGGCCAAUAUUAAAAAUUUUGAAGUUGUGGUAGAUAAAGCAUUGCUUUAUUGUGAGGUUGGAAUCCAUUUGCAUAUCAUAUAUGGCAGCAAGAAAUUUUUGAUGAUCUUUUUUUUAUACAAUGAUGGAUUGAAGCUUGAUAGUAGCCAAAAGAAGAAUUGUGUAUGAAUGGAAUACUUCUUCUAAUCUAAUGUCUAUACUAAAGGUACUUGAGAGUUUAUUAAUGAUGUCAAAAGAGAAGAUAAUAAGAUAUACUAGAAUUUGAUUAAUUUAGAUGUCUACUUAAGUGAUUAAAGGAUUGACCACUAUUAUUAUGAAUUUGUUGUGAUAUCAUCAAUUAUAAAUACGAUGUGCUACCAAGGCACAAUUUUGCUCAAAAUAGAGAUAUUAUGGUUGAAAUUCAAGGUAAUGUUGAAUAAGGCAUAUGAUAGAUAUGUUUGUGCAGUGAAUAUGUUGGAAGAAUAGAAGCAUCAUAAAUACAACAUAUUCUUGAAUGAAGGUGGAGAAAUUAGUAGUCAUUGCUAGAAGUUGUGUCUUUUGGCUACUUAUUAGAAGAGUCCACAUAUAGAGUUGUUUGUUGGAAUUUUAAAAAUAUGCUCAAAUUAAAAUAAUUGUCGUUAUUUUUGGAGAAAGAAAGAGGAAUCAAUGGACAUGUUGCUCUUAGCGCUAUAGUAAUAAAGGCAAGAAAGACUAUUUGUGAGGUUGUAUUGAAUAGAUUAAUUGUUAUUUGUUGAGACACAAUGUCAAACAAACAUAAUGUUUGAAUCAUCCAAUCUAAAAAAAAAAUAGUUUUUUUAAUAUUAAUAAUUAUAUCUACUAUAGCAUAAAUCCUAGUAAUAGUAAUAAUAACUACUACCAUUCAAAGGAAGCAAUAAAAAUUACUAUCUAUUAUUGUAACUUACAUAUUAAUUAAGAUGAUGCAAAGGUUUAAGAGCUUGGUAAUGACUAAGAGAACUCCCAUUGCAUUGCAACUUAUAUUGAUGAUUAUGGAAAAAUUGAUGCCAUUGAUGGAUCUUAGUACAAUCUAUGGUCUUACAAAGAUCUCUUUUUUUGAAUUAAUAGCAUAAUUUAAUUGAAAGAACAUAAUAGACAUUCGGAUAGGUAUCAAGGAUAUGAAUCUCAAAGAACUAAAAGAUUAAUACAUUCUUGUGUUACUUAAAAAGUUUGAAAAAUCAUUCAAAAAUGGUAUAAUAUUAAACUAUAAUGACUAUGGCCAAAGAUAAGAAGACUAAAAACUCUUGAAACAAGAAUAAGAAUUAGAAAAACAUUAAUAAGAAUGAAGAAGACUUCACUCUUGCUUCCAUAUAUACUACCUAUUUAAGAGCUACAUGGCACUAUUCUAUAAGACCUCCAACAUGUGUCUAAUUUGUAAGACAUGUGUUUUAAUUUGUAAGUUAAGUUUCAUUUAUAGAUGCCACAUUGUUAGGUUGUAUCACAUGCUACCGACAUGAAUAAUACAUGGCUAAUUUAUUGACAAAGUUUCUAACCUAUCAAUCAAAUAUAAACAUUAUAAUAUCAAAUACACAUCUAUGAAGCUUCUAAGAAGCUUUGUCAUAAGAUAAAAUCAAAUCCAUUUCCAUUUAUUUUUAUACUUAGUACUUCUUAUUUAGGUAAAUAUAUAUGUCUAUGAAAAUAGGUGGUCUUACCAUAGUCUUCAUAUCUUUAGUAUGAAAGAGUGUAAUGUUUAGUUUAAAUUUAUAUUGGAUGCACAUUACAUUUAUAGUUUUUUUUUUUUUUUUUUUUUUUUUUUUUUUUUUUUUAAUCUUGCCUAAUUAUUUGAGCAUUAAAGAAUGUAGUGAGUAAUUCAUGGUAUUUACUUCCAAUUAUAUUAAAGAUACUACAUAGAUUCAUUUAAUAUUUAAAGCCUCUAAUAUUGAUGUUGUUAUUAGAGAUAUCUAGUUUAAUCUAAUAGAUAUCACUACAUAAUGUAAUAAGCUACGUAAUGAGAUUUUGAACAAAGAUGAUUUGAUAAGUGAUUUUUUCAUUGAUAUGCAUAUUCAUUGCUCGGAUUAUUAUCAUGCGAUUUUAUAUUUUUAUAUUGGAUGCUGUAACAAUGGUAAUUUUUGUGGAUGCCUUAUGCUUCAUGUAUUAUAAUGGUAAAGAAAUAAAACAUUAAAGGAAUAUAUUAAAGUAGCAUGGUAUUACUUUAUUCGAAAUGGAUAUAUAAUUUUUGCUUUUUGCAUUAGAUUCAAGAACAAAGAUUAUAUGAAGUGUUACAAUGCAACUUGUUGCAUGAAUUUACCUUUGUCCUAUAUUACCAACUUAGUGUAGUUAGUGAAGUAUGAAAAAUAUAAAUCAAGAUUAUUUAUAUAUUGGUAUUUGGUGUUAUUCAAGUAAUUCUAUGUUAGAUUCUAUUAGUUGGCAAGAAUGAAGAAUACAUUAUCAAGGUAUUAAACACGUGCUCAUGUGAGCAAGAUGAUGCAAUUGAUCUUAGACUAAAAUAUAUCAUGUGUGUCUCUCAACAGUGAUAUGCAAUAUUACAAGUUUCAAUAAAAAUUCAAAGUGUCAUGUGCUUCUGUUACAAUGAUAAAAUCUUAAAUGAAGGUAAGAUAAUUAUUACUAAGAAAAAAUUUUCCAAAAAAAAGGCGAAUAAUUUAUUAAAAUUAAUGUAGAGCUUGUAAAUACAUUUGAUAUGUGUCACUAUAGCCAAUGUGAUCAAUGGUGGAAGAAGUAUAUUAGAAAGAGCAUUUGGGAGAUGCAUUCACCAAAAAACCUUCAUAACAAGGUAAAUAACAUGCAACAUAUAAUCUUUUAGCAAGAAUUUGGCUACUUAUUGUAGCGUCAUUGCUACCAAUUACUUAUAAAAAGUUGAGAAGGAAUCUAUGAGAUAUGUGGGCAAGAAAUCUUUUAUAACUAUAAGUAUCAUAAUUGUCUAAGUGUCAUGAAUUUAAAAUACUGAUUGAAAAUCUAAACAAGAAGCUCAAGAAGAAUCAACAAGAAUUAGAUUAAUCAGAUGAGUAUAAGAACAAUACUAGAGAGGUGAGCUAGAGCUCCAAGAGAUGUAUUGUUGAGACUAAGGAUCCCCUCAUUCUUGGCUCCUAUAUAUACUACAAGCUAAGAAGCUUUUCAAGUAGCUUCCACAAACUAGGAAGCUUCUCAAGUAGCUUCUACGAGUUAGGAAGCUUUUCAAGCAACUUCCACAAGCUAGGAAGCUUAUCAAGCAGCUUCCACGAGCUUGAAAAUUUUUCAAGUAGCUUCUACAAACUACAAAGCUUCUCUAGAACCUUCUAAAAUCUUCUACAACUUUCUAGUGUAUGUCCUUAACAUCACCCUCACUUUAGCUUCGAGGUCUCCGAAAAGCACUCCUAUUGCGAGUCAGUAUCAAUGCAAGAAAUUGAAAAUUUAUCACAUAGUGUUUGUAAUAUACUCCAAUUGUUGUUUACAUGGCAAGUAGUUCAUUGGUCCUUGUAACCAAUGAUAGUGUCCUAUGCCUUCGAUUUUCCACCAAAUAAGAACUUCUGUGUCUUCAUUGUGAAAAUGCCCUGCAAACAUUCCUUUGAGAAGAUCACCACAAGCAGGUUCUACCUCAAACACAAUCAAUAGCGACCUGUUAUUAAGUAUCCUCUGUCGUCUUCGUAGUACAUGCGGUGCCGUAAUGUGUGAAGUCUUGCUUGAGAAUGCUCCUGGCACUUGGCUGUAGAAGGAAGAAUAGAAAUUGCGAUAACAAAAUCCUAAUUCUAAUAGAAUACUAACAAUGCUCUAAUUAGACUAUAAUAAUAGUAAACAAACGUAAUCAAAUUCAAAAUAAUUCAAAGAAAUUUCAAACAAACAAUAAUUUUUUUAAAAAAAUAUUAGAAUGAUUACAAAUAUUACUCAAAUAUAUGUCAAUUCAACCUUAAUUUAAUUCUAGUUAAAACCCUAUUGAAUUUCACUCAAACUUUAGACCAAACCUAAUUAAAUCUUAAAUCCUAAUAAAUCCUAAACUCUAAGUCAAAUCCUUAACAAACCUUAAAUUAAACCCUAAAUCAAACCCUAAACCAAAUCCUAAAUCUUAAAUCAAAUCCUAAAUCAAACCCUAAAUCAAACCCUAAACCAAACCCUAAACCCUAAUCCAAACUCUAAUCCAAUCCUAAAUCCUAAUUCAAACCCUAAAUCCUAAAUCAAACCUUAAAUCAAACCCUAAAUCAAACCCUAACCAAAUCCUAAUCCAAACCCUAAAUAAAAUCCUAACCGAAUUCUAAAUCCUAA